CCAUGGGGGUCUGCCCUGCCCCUCUGCACAGCUCAGGCAGGGCUGGGGCAAGCUGCAGGAGAAGGGAGCAUCCGAGGCAGGAGCUGGCUGGGAACUUGCAACCGAGCAUUUUGCAAAAGGGAAAAAGCAAAUUUGUUGACAUUGAAGGUAUCGGUUUCAGGAAAAGAGAGGCUAAUUCCCAGCUUGUCCAGCCUAGCCAAAAGAGAAAGGCUAGGAUGAGCUAGGAUAAUAUAGCCUUGUAACAGAAGAAAGGACUUGGGAAGGUGCUUUAGCUGAAGAAUGAUGCUGGGAUAAGAACAGAUAGGUAGAAGUUGGCCAGGAGAAUAUUUAGGGCGGCAAUUUUCUGAUUAUAUCAUGCAGGACCAGACUAGUCUUUUAAAUGGAGUUAUGGGAGGAAAAUGUUUCUGGGUUUCACCCCGGAGCUUGUCAGAUUUGCAGCCUGCUGCCACACACAUGGAUUGAAAACACCUUUCCCCUUCUUGAUUUCUAGAUUUUUUUUCCCAAGCCCUUUGAAGCCUUACAUCCGUUUUAUAGACAAGAAAGCUGCAGCCCAGGGAGCGUCGCUCAACGGUGGAGGAAAAGAUUCUUAUUUCAACAAGUGGAUUGUACUUGGAGGAGGAAGGGGAUGUGACAUUACCUGCCAAAGAGGGUCCGUCUGCUCCGGGAAGAGCUCAAAGUACUUUUGAGCCAGUUGAACUGGGGGCAGCGUCUGCAGUUUCAGCACCAUCUCUGAAGCUGGCAAUCAAUAACAUGCGGCAGAUCUCAAUUAAACAGAACAGCAUGUCAGGCGGUGCACUUCUCAGUAACGGUAUCAUGCUUCGAGGAGGCCUUGAUGCAAAGUCAAAAAUUAGAGGUAUAAUGUUGGUUACAGCGACCUCCAGAAAAUGGUGGUGGGAAGUUCAGCAGUUUGCUGCCCUGCCAUAAUGCUGAGAGUUUCUGGGAAAGCCAAGUAAAGCGUCGGCUUUGUGAAUUCAGGGAUUUCUCGUGGUACCAAAAAUACAUCCAUAGUCCAUAGGAGUGUGUCUUUCCCCAAAUUCCUGUGCAUCUGCCACAGCUAUGAAUUUCACAGGAGAGAUGGAGAAUCCACUCAAAGGCUGUAUCUUCAGUGUCCUUACCCAUGAAGCCUUCCUUCACGUGAAGUUUAAAAUAUCUCCAUACAGGAAGGAUGCGUGGAUGACCUUUAUGGAAGUGCCCCUUCAUGCCACACUGAACACCUGCGCCUGAGAGCAAAGCGUGGCCUCGAUGAUGAGAGGAAACCACACUGGGCCGCGAGCAUUAGCACGUGGAAGAUCAGCUUCCCAACGUGUUGACAGGGUUUGACAUUCUCGUUUACACAGCCGGUUCACGUCGCCCCUGUGAGACCACGGGCAGGGAUCUGUUCCCCUUCAGGUUGGACUGGGUUCGGAAAAGGGACGUAGGCUCAGCACUCCCUCUCCUAGCCUUUUUGCGCCUCAUUUUGGUUAGGCAGCUGGUUUGUAAACCCUCAGGAGGGCCUCAUGCCUGAAAACUGGCAUGGGCAAUAGCCAGUCUGCUCAGCCACUUGUGUCACCUGCACUACCCAGCUAGGGUGCAGGCCUGCGGGCAGGGGUGGGGGCAGAAGCAAUGCCUAUUUUGGGGUCUGAAGUACCUGACUCUGAAGAAAUGAGUCAUCAGCAGUGAAGGCACCUGAUUCACAGGUUAAUUGCUUGCUUUGCAGAUAGAUAUCUAUGUCCAGGUGAGUCUUUUUUUGGAUGAUGAGGAAUGGGAACUGACAGCACAGCUGAGGGCUGGGUGUGAGCUUAUAAAGCGAUGUGCAGGCAGCAGAGAGGGGACUGCAGGACGUGAGGCAGUAUGUGCACCUUUCUCCUUUGACAGCUGCAGCAGGAGAUCUGGGUCUCCAGCACCCCGGGUGCACGCUUAGGUCAGUGAGCUUUUUGUUUUUCCCCCUGCCUUGUGUCUUGAGGGAAGCUGGGUGUAGUUUGAGUGAUACCUUGCACAGCCCAGGCAUGGGGGGCAAUGUUUAGGCUUCAGUCCUUUGAAGCCUGAAGUGUAUGCUAGAUAUGCUGGAGGUGUCAAGGUGUAUGCUGUCCUUGCUGGGGGUAGGCUAUGGCUGGGAAACCAGGUGGAUGCCCUGGCACUCUGGUCCUGGAGUUAGAGGCCUGAGAAUAUGUGUCUCAGCUAAGCAGCAACCAGGCUCCCCAGUAGCUAAACUGAGGGGAAGUGCUAAGUCUCAAAACUCAGGCCUGCACAGCUAAAAUGUCUGCAAAAUGCCCAGGUGUUUCUCAGGAAGGUUGUUAUCGCUCAUCCAUGUGGCUCUGUCCUGCUGCCUGGCAAGAGCUUUCCAA